GAACACCUUGGGAACAGAGACACUGAUUCCUUCCUGAUGUCCUCAGCACAUAGAAGACACCAUUGAGACAGUGGUAAGGGACAGGUCACCACCACACAGCUCCACUGCACUGCUCCUCUGAAAGCAAAGAUCCUCAGCAGGAUUUAUGAUUGGGCUGGACUUGAGCCCCUGUCCCCCUGCCUUAGCCAGAGAUCCUUAUGUAGUGCACAACUACAUAAUGCAUAUGUGCUACAAGGUGCUGUUCACAAGGAAGGAUCAAGGCUGAGAUAAGGAAAGAAAACACAACCACAAGGAAGACUGCAGGCGUGUCCAGCAGCUCAAAGUGAAGAGACCACCUGUCAGAAAAACAGUGUGUUCCUCGAAAGUCUUUUUCUCCUACCUUUUCUUACCUAGCACAAAUGAAUUGCCCAAAGUUUCAAGCCAAUGUUAACAGCUAUUAAUAACUGUGUGGGCAGCAGAGUGGACGCACUACAAUCGUGUGCUACGUACAUCACCCAACCUUCACAGAGAAGAAUGGAAACACUUGAUUGCGGUGAGAUGUGAGAUGAAGGUCAACGUUCACUUCUCACAGGCAUUUUUAUCUGCAAAUGGCUACAGCUUCAGGGCUGAAAUUUUUAUUCCACAUACCAUUUAGAUCCAUCAGGUCUCUCAAAAUAUGGAUUUCGCACUGAAGACAUCAAAGUGCUAAAACCAGUGCAGGUCCCCACCCCCUCCUUUUACAAGAUGCUAUUG